rnacentral:misc_RNA from 1 species
GUCAAAAAGAUCAAGCAAUCUGAGUACAAAGGAAUGAUCUAUAUAUCUUUUGGCAACUUUUGCAUCAGUUUCAGGUGAUGCAACAAACCUCAGAAGGAACUCAUACACAAUUUGCAGAUGUGGCCAUGAAGGAUCCAUCGCAGGUUCAUCCUCUUCCACAUCAAAGGCCAACGUCUUGUUUUCUCGAGGCUGGGGCAUGAGUUCCCUAAACAAAUUAGUCGACACCAUCUUUACUACUGCUUGCAUCACCACUUCAGUAAAUUUCACAUUUGCAGACGUGACGUACUCCACGAGCUCCAACAACGUCU